rnacentral:rRNA from 1 species
UACGGAGGGGGCUAGCGUUGUUCGGAAUUACUGGGCGUAAAGGGCUCGUAGGUGGUCAACUAAGUCGGACGUGAAAUCCCUCGGCUUAACCGGGGAACUGCGUCCGAUACUGGAUGACUUGAGUUCGGGAGAGGGAUGCGGAAUUCCAGGUGUAGCGGUGAAAUGCGUAGAUAUCUGGAGGAACACCGGUGGCGAAGGCGGCAUCCUGGACCGACACUGACGCUGAGGAGCGAAAGCCAGGGGAGCAAACGGG